AAAACUUUCAACAACGGAUCUCUUGGUUCCAGCAUCGAUGAAGAACGCAGCGAAAUGCGAAAAGUAAUGUGAAUUGCAGAAUUCCGUGAAUCAUCGAAUCUUUGAACGCACAUUGCGCCCCUUGGUAUCCCGGGGGGCAUGCCUGUUCGAGCGUCAUUG
rnacentral:rRNA from 1 species